AAUGAAUAAAUAUUGUGAUUAUUCACAUUAAAUUUAAUAGUAAAUUACAAAGAACUAACAUAUCGCAUUUACAUAAAAUUACCUAUGCUAAUUAUAAAGCAUAAAAUAUCAUCCCCUCAUAAAAAGAAUAAUACUGUAGCAUCUACAAAUGAAAAUAUCUUUAAAACAAUCCUGAAAACAAAAAAACAGAUUUGUCUUGUGCUUCAACUUGAUCUUCAUUUUCAGUUGCUCAUACUUCUGCUUCACUCUAAUUAGAUGCAGGCUGGUUCUUCAAAUUUCAAAUUCUUAAUCUGUCAAAAUAAUAAGUUCAAGUCAGCUUGAUCAUAAAAAUGCUAAUACUUGCUUGCAAUUCAAUUUAUCUCCUUUUCUCUUCCACAAAAUCAAGAUUAACCACAGAUAAAGCAAACACAAUUUACAGGAAUCUCAAAAAAUUAGUUGAAAAGAGCUCUAAAACUUAAUGCAAGUGUCAAAAAGAAAGAAAGGAAACAAAAUUUAUUCUAAGAGAACUCCACGGCUAGAACAUAGAACCAAAAUAUAGGUGGAAAGCAAAGCAAACCACAAAGAAAACAAAUAGAGUACAAGUACGGGAUAAUAGUCCUUGCCUGCAAAUGAUGGAUUUUAUGCAAGUAGAAGAAUACCAUAUGUUCUGAAGGGAAGAUGAUCACUAGUGUACAACACCAACAUACAGUUGUAUAUGAUUUUUGCUUUUGAUGUAAUCUUCAAGAUGUUAAGGAUGAAAAUAGCAUGGUAGAUUUCAUAGAAUAUCUACAAAGAUAGUAUUUCCACAGUAAGAAGCCUUCUUUUAGUUUUUGUACAGAAGGUUUCCAGUUAUGCAUGCCUUGGCACUACCUUAGUGCUAAGUUGUUCAACUUUUUAAUACAUAGCAUACUUACCUUUUUUUUAAAAAAUAUUUCAGCCUUUAGUAAUACAAUAGUUUUGGUUGAAUACAUUUUCAUAAAUUUAGCUACAUCUUUAAAUCUAAUUCAACGAUUUCAAAUACUAGGUAUGGAUAUGAGAACCAAGAUUGAGCAGAUGACAAAUUAAAAUAAAUACUUAGUACAACAUCGAAAAAACAUAACCAGUCUGCAGAUCGAGAUAAUUUACAAAUAAAAAAAACUAGAGAAGGGGGGAAUAGAUAUCAAGGGGGGAUAAGGAUUCACUAAAAGCUUACUGAAUCAAUAGUGGAGUUCCCAAGCUGAUGUCUUCCUCCCAAAUAUUUUGGAUUUACAUGAAUGUCGUGAGUUAAUUAGUCGUGCUGAUUCAGAUGCUCUUGACAAAGUCAAGCCAGAAGAUUGUUUCUAUUGAAUAAAGAUAACAUAUUGCAAGAAAUUAUUGUUCCAACCGACUGAUAAAGUUUGCAUUUUGAUGUACACUAAGUUUCAACUAAAGCUAGGGAAGCCAAAGAACAAAUGGUGUAAGUCCUUUUUGGUUCCUUCAAAUUGUAGCAGAGCGUUUGCUCCAUUGUCCUUUUAUGUUUAGCAAGACCAACAAAAUCAAAUGUGAUGAUUGUAAAUAAUGAAAGCUUUAAGAACUGUCUGGUAAGGACACAUACUUAUCCAACCCAACAGUAGUGUGCUAAACAAGUAGUAACCAUGAAAAUUAUAGUCCACCAUUCAAGCACUCAUAAGAUAAAAUAUGUUUUAUUGUGGAACUAAUAAGACAAUCAAAGUUCAACAAUUAAAUUAAAUUGUUUAUGAAAUGGUCAAUUUUUGAAUGCAACAAAUAUAUCCUAAUUAAGUAGUCAUGGAUGCUGAUGAUACACUUACAUAGUAUCACUAUCCAACAUCAGUUGAUGACAAUAGAUUAGCCCUAAUUCGUAAAGCAAUGGACCAUCUUAUCGAACAUGCUACGUGAGUUAAAUGCGAUAUUUUUUCCCAAAUAGUUGCACAAGGACUCUUAUUUUACUCAGUUGUAUGUUAACUUUGUAACUCAACACUAACUUGGUGUUGUCAAGUAUUUCAAAUUUAUCUUAUUUACCUUUCAAUUUUUUUUCUUUCUAGGAUUAAAUUAGUUGUUAACACUAACAUCACUUGUGAUCAAACACAUGUAAUAUGGGAAGACAUGGUAUCACAUGAGAUAACCCUCAAUUAAAUGGUUUAGUGUUCACAAAAAUCUGCUACAUAUUUAAACAAGCUAGAGAGCAAGAAAAUCUUUUGAGGUGUUUUUAUAAACUAUAACCUUAACUUAAAGAGGUUCGACCUGGGAUAAAACCCUAGUCGCAUGGUGGAUUUUUAAGCUUGUAGCAGUAGUACAAAGCACUUACUGAUGUUAGAACAAAGAUGAAGAAUAUCCAAAGGGAUCACAAAUAUUCAUAAGAAACAAAUAUAUACAUUCUAGUGAAACAUCAAACUAUUUAAAUAACUUAAAAAUUGUUUCAUCCACUUUACGGGUCACUCAUUUGGCCAGAUAAACCAUACCUUGAAGCUGAUCAUAACUAUGAUCAAUAAGCAUAUUUCACAAUAAUCUGUAUAUGGCAUUUCAACUAUGGUAUCUCCAUGUUCUACCAAUGAUUCUUAGAAUUCUUUCAACCAAGAAUCAACCUAAUACACAAAAAUAGACUACUCACAUAAUUUUUUCAAAAUCUAAUAUCUGGAAGACAACUUGUAUAGUUGAAAAGAGAAAAAAAUAUACACCAAGCGUAUCCUUAUUAAGAAUGGAUGCAUGAGGACAUAUGCAUCCUACACCAUUUUUAUAGAAGAUAUUAAGCAUACCAAAUACUACAAGAUAAAAUAUAUUUUUUGCACAAUAUAACAAUCACGAAGAAGUCAGAUUUCCCUCAAAUUCACAUAAUUAAAUCACAUGAAUAUUAGGACAACUGACUCCCUGUUUUAUUUCAUAACAAGGGACAAACGACCACUUUUAAAAGAUUACCUAAAAUAUCGUGAAAACCACUGAAAAAGCCUCAAAAUAUUCAGAAAAAGGAAAACUUUAAUUCACACAAACAGUUAAAAGGAUAAAUAUAUUAACCAAAAAGCUCGACCAAAAAAGAAAACAUACGCAAAGUCAUCAGUUUGUUAGAUCCAACUAUCAGAGAAUGGAAAGAAGGCCUUAUGUCUCUAUCAUAUACAACAUACGAUAAUAAGAUCAAUAGUUUCAAUUUCAUUUUCCUGAUAUUAAGGAUCAUAUUCAUGUUGGAAAGUAGAGAGUGUUUCAUGACUGGCUCAGAAUUACCUUUAACCAUGCAUAUGAGAGAAAUUAGCUAAUAAAAUAAUACUUUUAAUACAAAAAUGUAGAUCAAUAAAAUGAAAAGAAAUCAACAAUAACAACAACAUCCCAAGUGUAAUCCAACGAGUGGGGUAUGGGGAGGGUAGAGUAUACGGAGACCUUACCCCUACCUUGGGAGGUAGACAUGUUGUUUUCAAUAGGCCAUUGGCUUAAGGAAACACAAUUCAAAGCAGACCAAGAAGACCCUCAGCUUACUUCUCAUAGCUAAGGUUAUUAGACAAAGAAUUUUUUAAAUUAAGGCGCAAUUCCUUAAUUCCUAGUACAACUGAAGGAGGUUGUAAUAGUUUGGGGUAACUGAGAGAGAGACUCAUAGCCUAAAAAAGAUUGUAUAGGAGGAGCAUGAGUAUCAUAGGUUAAUCACAAGUAAAGUCUAGAUCCAACUUUUUUAAAUAAGUUAAUUAGAACCAUUUUUCUUUAAUGUGUCUUAGAAAUCUUUUAUUAUUUGUUCACUUUAGCUAUAGCAUAUUUAAUCCACCUUUCUUAUUUCUAAAGUGGUAAUGAAGCAAUACCAAAUAGCAAGAUAGAAACCUAAUCUACAUGAAAUCAACGGUAUCUAUACUAUCUUUAACAAGCAGAACUUCAAAUUUAUACCACAUAUUUACCCUCGUUAUAAGGCCAAUGAAAAAACAUUAAGGAACGCAAAUGACAAUUUAAAAAUAUCCAUAAAAUCAGUUGAAAAGCUUAAUAUUCUCCGAUAUAACUUCAUUCAUUUGCUAGGAACAUAUCUGAACUGUGCACAUAGCUCCAUCCACAAAAGGAACCAAAUAAAAACUGAAAUCCUACAAAGAUGAGAAUAUUUGUCUCAACAACAUGUCCGGUCAACUAUAUGGCAUGUUUCCUUCUAAUUCUCAACAACUUGUUUUUGAGAAGCUUAACCAACACAAAACUUCUCAGGCUUUCUAAGAGAUGAUCCAACAAGCUCAUUACGCCAAACAAAAAUCCAUCAUAAAGUAAGCACCGAAAGAACCAAAAAUUCUCAGACUCCAAGCAAUAAAAAUUCAGUCUUUGACAGUGAAAACUACUACCCUAUCAGUCUAUCACUGCCUCAAGAUUAUAUUUUCUUAAAGCUUCCUAUAUAUGUUUUCAAGAAAGAGAAGCCUUCAUCCAACAAGUUUAUUAUCCCAUAAGGAAUCCACAAAUCUGCAAAUAUCUAAAAUUCGAAAAUAUCUCAGAUUUGGAAAAAAAGGAUCCUUCAUCUAUGAAACUGCAUCUAAUGAAUGCAUAUCCAAAAGAAAGUAAAAGCAAAAAAAAAAACAUAAAAAUGAAGUUAAACCCUAAAAACAGAGAUGAGAAAAACUGGGAGUCAGGUUAAGCAAAAGGUUAAGUGUAUUUUAUUUCAUUCAAAAUUUAGCAUGAUCCUUGGACAAUCGAACGGAAAUGGACAAAUUUAGCACUGUAAAUUGAAAAAAAUUCAAAUAGAAUGUCCUCGAUCAUAUUUUCAAAGAAAAUUCUACAACUAUAAAAUUUAAUACUUCAAGGAUAAAAGAUCAAAAACUUACCUUCACAAGAAGCAGAACAAACCCUAAGCCAAGAUAAAUUCACCAUAUGCGUAAAAAGGGAUAAUUGCAUUGAAGAGUGGGUGCUCAAAUCACCAUCAGAUAAGGCAAGUCUUCGUGGGAGUUCAAAUCGCCAUCAGAGAAUGAAUGUUGUCAGAAUGAAGAAUGGAAGUUCAAAUCGCCACCAAAAAGGGUUUUUCUUUUUAUUUUAUUUGGUUGGGUUGAGGUUGGUGGGGUGGGGGUUGAGUGGGAGGGGUUUUGCACGUUGAGGGAGAGAAAAGG
rnacentral:lncRNA from 1 species